rnacentral:ncRNA from 1 species
GUUCUCAGGGCGGGGUGAAAGUCCCCACCGGCGGUAAUCGCAAUCGGUCAUUGUAUGGAUGGUCUUGCGUAGCCCGCGGGCGCUUUCGGCUACACGCAUAAUCGUUGAAGUCGGAAGGACAGCAGACUUGGUGAGAUUCCAAGGCCGACAGUUAAAGUCUGGUUAUGAGAAUA